rnacentral:rRNA from 1 species
GACGAACCGUGCGAACGUUGUUCGGAAUCACUGGGCUUAAAGGGCGCGUAGGCGGGCUGUCAAGUCGGUGGUGAAAUCUUUCGGCUCAACCGGAAAAUCGCCUUCGAUACUGGCGGCCUUGAGGGGGGUAGGGGCAUGCGGAACUUCCGGUGGAGCGGUGAAAUGCGUAGAUAUCGGAAGGAACACCGAUGGCGAAAGCAGCGUGCUGGACCCUUUCUGACGCUGAGGCGCGAAAGCCAGGGGAGCAAACGGG